rnacentral:rRNA from 1 species
UACGUAGGUGGCAAGCGUUGUCCGGAUUUACUGGGCGUAAAGAGCGCGCAGGCGGUCGUUCAAGUCGCGUGUGAAAGCCCCCGGCUCAACCGGGGAGGGUCGUCGGGGACUGAUCGGCUUGAGGGCGGUAGGGGCCGGUGGAAUUCCCGGUGUAGUGGUGAAAUGCGCAGAUAUCAGGAGGAACACCUAUGGCGAAGGCAGCUCGCUGGGACGGUACUGACGCUGAGGCGCGAAAGCGUGGGGAGCAAACAGG